rnacentral:lncRNA from 1 species
GGAUCGGAAUGUGGCUCAAGUUCGGGAGGCGUUACCUGCGGAGGGUUUGAGGCAGGCCCAGGAGCGAGCCCAUGGUCUUCCGACGCGGGGCCAGGGGCGGGGCCCAGGAUCCGGAGCUUCGUGCGGGGCCGAGUCCAGGUUUGGGGCCCGGGAGGCGGGGCCAGUUAGGGCGAGGGUCCCUGGGAUCGUCGGGUCAGGCCUUGGGCUAACGUAGGCACUCUCGCAGUUCCUCCGCCUUCAGGAAGGUCUUUUCAGCAGGGGCCUUACGGGUGCAUGCUUCGGUCCUGGAGGCCUUAUCCUAGCCUCCUCUCCAUCAGCGCCACCCGUCUGGGGCCCGAAAGGAGGGAGCUUUCCCUCUGUCCCCCAGCCUUUGGACUGUCACUAAACAAGCCAUUCGUUCAUCAAAUACUUUUUAAGCGCCUACCAUGUGCCUGACAAGGGAGAUGUAACGGUGAGAAAAACUAGGUGUGGUCCAGGCCCUUCAGGGGCUCAGGUGCUCGUGGAAGAAGUGGACAUUGAAGUACUUAUCACACAAAUGAGGAUAAAAGUACGAUAACGAUAUCUACCACGAAGUCCCUGUAUCCUGAGAUGGAGUCACCUGAGAAUCCACAGCAAGUCCUAACCAGGGAUGGGUCUGGGUGAUUAAGGAAGGUUGGCUUCAGAACUGGGCCAGGGGCACUGCUUUGCUUUUGCUGUUUUGAUCAGCUCUCUGCCUGAAGGAGACAAGAAAAACCAACGGGAACAGACCAACAGGUAUUCUACCAUAUAAGAAAUAUGAUGUUCUCUGUACAUUGAAGAGUUGGUCUAAUAUUUGGCCUGGUGGAUGGAGAAAUUGCCUGUCUGCUCCGCUCUGGUUGAAGAAACCAGUCUGACUGUCUCUGAGGCUAUGGAGCAGUCCAUGAAGAAUGAAAGCCCUUGGCCAGGCACAUUGGCUCACACCUGUAAUACCAGCGCUUUGGGAGGCCGAGGCAGGUGGAUCACUUGAAGUCACGAGUUUGACACCAGCAUGGCCAACAUGGUGAAACGCUGUCUCUACAGAAAAUAGAAAAAUUAGCUGGGCCUGGUGACACGUGCCUGUAAUCCCAGCUACUCAGGAGGCUGAGGCAGGAGAAUCACUUGAACCUGGGAGGCAGAGGUUGCAGUGGGGAGCUGAGAUCACACCACUGCAUUCCAGCCUGGGCGACAGAGCGAGACUCUCUCAAAAAAAAAAAAAAAAAAGAAUGAAUGUCCUCAUGAUGGCCUCAAGCACAUUGGUCCCUGAAGAGAGCCAAGGAAGGCCCACUUUACUCUGCACUGCAAAGCAGGCAGGUGGACAGGAUGAGAAGUGGAUUCAGUGACAGGCAUUGACCCAAAGGAUUUUCUGCCUAAUGGUCGGUUCAGCAGAAGAUUAAACUGAGCACAGCAUCCUGUUCCCUCAAACUGUCUGGUUGGUCAGUGGGGAAUGUUCUUGUCUCGUUAAAUGUCCUCAUGCUACUGUCAAGAUAUCCUGUUACAAAACAUCAUAAACCAGGUUUACAAAUAGGCCAGGUGACUGUGGAAUUUCUCCUUGGCAAGGCCUUAGCUAUGGGCAUGCGAUUGGUGUGCAGUAAUCACAGUGUUCCGGGCCACUUGAGGGAUAAAAUAUACCUUAGGUGAUAAACUGUUGUAUUUUAAUGUGAAUAUUUCCACCAACACUAAACAGUAACCCCAUGAGUUUUCUCAUACCUGUUACACUGUGGAGUUGCAACAAGCUAACAAGCAAGUUGCAAACAGAAUUAUCGCAUUUGGCUCUUAUUCACAGCCAGGGUUCUUCAAGCUGUACCUGGGACAGUCUUCCCUCACAUGAGGUUUAUAGCAUCAUUUAUUUCAUUAUUUAUUUAUUUUUUGAGACGGAGUUUCGCUCUGUCGCCCAGGCUGGAGUGCAAUGGCGCGAUCUUGGCUCACUGCAACCUCUGCCCCCCCGGGGUUCACGCGAUUCUCCCGCCUAAGCCUCCCGAGUAGCUGGGAUUAUAGGCACCCGCCACCACGCCCGGCUAAUUUUUGUAUUUUUAGUAGAGAUGGAGUUUUACCAUGUUGACCGGGCUGGUCUCAAACUCCUGACUUCAGGUGAUCCACCCGCCUCAGCCUCCCAAAGUGUUGGGAUUACUGGCAUAAGCCACAGCGCCCGGCUAUAGCAUCAUUUAAACUUUGUUUCUGCCAUGAAUUGUUAGUUGGUAGUUAACAAAAAAUAGACCACCUCAUUUAUGUCUCACAGUUAGCAUUGGUUUUUGUGUUUUCUUUAGGCUUGUUUUUUAAUUGUUUUUAAAAUUGUGAAACAGGGUCUUGUUCUGUUGCUGAGGCCAGAGUGCAGUGACACAAUCUUGUCUCGCUGCAGCCUCAACCUCCUGGGCCCAAGCAAUCCUCUCACUUUAGCCUCCUGAGUAGCUGGGACUGCAAACAGGAGCCACC